rnacentral:tRNA from 1 species
GCCUUUUUAGCUCAGUUGGUAGAGUAUUUGCAUGGUAAGCAAAAGGUCGCCGGUUCGAGUCCGGUAAAAGGCU